rnacentral:rRNA from 1 species
AUGCUGGCAUGGCAGUCAGGAAGAUUCACGAUAAAUUGGAUAAAAAAAAAAAAGCAUUGAAAUCGAUUUUUAUUGACCAAUCAGAAUUCUCUCCUAGGGUCUAUAAUUGCCUCAAAAGGUCCAACAGCGACCGAAACCCCGGUGAACGGCGGCCGUAACUAUAACGGUUCUAAAGUAGCGAAAUUUCUUGUCGGGUCAGUUCCGACCCACACGAAAGGCA